UACGGGGGGGGCAAGCGUUGUUCGGAAUUACUGGGCGUAAAGGGUUCGUAGGUGGCCCACUAAGUCAGACGUGAAAUCCCUCAGCUUAACUGGGGAACUGCGUCUGAUACUGCUUUGCUAGAGUACAGAAGGGGCAAUCGGAAUUCUUGGUGUAGCGGUGAAAUGCGUAGAUAUCAAGAGGAACACCUGAGGUGAAGACGGGUUGCUGGGCUGAUACUGACGCUGAGGCUCGAAAGCUAGGGGAGCAAACGGG
rnacentral:rRNA from 1 species